ensembl:lncRNA
UGUGUGUGUACAUUAAACACUUGCUCUUCAGGUUCCUGUGUGCUCUAGGGUUCUAGGGUUCGGUUAUGAAAAUAUGGUGUGGCGAGUGUACGCGGGGAUUUGAAUGCUGAUGUUGGAAGCAAGAUAAGCAUGUAUAGGCUUUCAGGAUUACUCAAGUCCGUGUUAGAUGAGAUGUGUUUCAUCACCUCACUCAUUUCUGCACCAGUUCUGCAAACUGCACAUUUCUGACUGCGAGGACGUGAUGCGGCUGUUCGUUUUUACAGGAAAUUAUUAACACACAAACACCUGAAAUCCUUUUACUCUUAUUUACUGUCAUUUUUCUUGUGUAAAAUAACCUGAGCGAAAAGAAAACACUGCAUGGAAAAACUAGAAAUAAAUGUAUAAUGUGUAUAAGGUUUGUGUUUGGAUGCAUAGCAGAUAACACAAAUGAUCGAGUCGUGAAACAUUCGAGGUGAUAUUAGUUCAAAAGUCUGUGCUCCUCUUUCUGAAUGUGAUAUCACAGCUAAUUAAGCGCUGUGAGCGGUUUACUUUUUUCUUUAUUGUGUUGCUUGGAAUUCAUUUCAGUGGGUGGGGAGCAACACAUUUUUAUCAUAUUAAUAACACAUUUAUGAUAGUUUCACUGACAAUGAUUAAAAUAAGAUCUCGGAAGCAGGAAGCUGGAGAUCACAACUCUGUCAUUUUCAAUCUCUGUGCUUUUGAGCUACAAAGUGGGAAAAAACGUGGACUCCUCUAUGCUUGUCUUUUGUUAGCGAUGAGCAAGGAGUAACAGUAUUUACCUCAGAACAGUGAAGUGUAGAGUCACUGCCCCAUGAAGUUCC